GAGGAGGCAAAUAAGAAAAAUACUACGCGUGGGUGAAGAAGAAGCACCCAAACAAAAAAAAAUAUCAAUGGAUACAACGAGGUUCUGGUGGAUUUCUAUGGCCGUAUAAGGGGAUUUUAAAUAAGGGAUCAUGUUGGCUGCCUUGGGCCUAUAUAAAAAACUUGAUGGCCGAUUCUGAAAGAUGGCGGAUCGAAGCAGAAUGAAAUGGUUUUGUUCCAGAUGGUCCAGUGGACUAGGGAUUAAGGUGGUUCCGGGAAUUUAAGCUAAUAAAAUUCAAUUGGACCUGGGAUUUGGCCUUGGUUGCUGCUUCCGUUCAGGAAAGGUUAUAAAUUCAGAUUGGACCUGGACCGGAAGCUUGAAUGCGGUAUAUGAACCCAAUUAUUAUUCUAAAACAGUAAGUACUAACUAAUACUGAACUUAUCUAAAUCAAAUGAUUAGAUAUUGAAAAUGACUUGUAUCAUCAAAAUUUACUUUAGACCAAAUACUAAUUGUUUUGUUUUUCCUUUCACAGGUUGAAUCAUCAAAUUUUGGUUCCUGAAGAAAAUCAACAAUACCAGCCAACUGUAAGAUCGAGAGGAAAAUUUCUCCAAUCAACGAAAAUUUUAAUCGGUAAGUGAAAACUUUAAAUUUCUAUUAUUAACAUCUAAUUUUAAGUUAUUCUGUUUAGUCUAAUAUUAGAUUUAGUAUUUAAAUUAGAUUUAAAAGCAAACUAUAGAUAUAUUGCCUUAUUUCGUGAUCGUUAAGAUCAUAAUGUUUUCCAUUAGAAAAAACUAUUUUGCCAGGAAUAGUUCGUGUUGUGAGAACAACAUACCGUAGUGAUAGAUUUCCCUGUUAACGAGUAAUUCACGUGUUUCUACCCGAAACGCUUGUUGGAUACUCGUUCCCAGCUUUGUUCCCAGACAAUUCAAAUUGCCAAAUUUUAGUCAGCGCUUAGAUGACUAAUAAUUCCUAACCCUGAGUGCAUGGUUCCAAAGGGUGCUAUGACGGAAUUGCAUUAUGACUAGCGUCUGACGAUCACAACGUGGUCAUAAACGAAAAUUAAUAUAUUUAGUCUGGUUGAGCACUCGGCGAACUACUCGUUAACGGGCAAACUAUCACGACUGUUUACUGUUCCACAACACAAAUGAACUUCCCUGGUCGUAGGCUUUCACUAAAAAAGAAAACAAAGUGUUAAAUAUAAUCAAGGCAAAAUAUCAUUAACAAAAUGUUUUGUGUAGAAAGUAUCUACUAACUCAUUUAUACAAAAUACAGAAAAUAAAAUAGGUUUUAUCAUUUUGGUUCGAGCUAGGAGUAGGUAUAAUCGUUGGGACUAGAACCACCAAAGAUGUUGAAACUAUUGUUUCAAAUCUUUGGCAUGAAAUACCCCCAACGAUUUUCCUUGAAGGUCUUCAACCUCGUAUAGGCUAUUACCAAUAGGUCUGACAAUUCGGCAUUUUAAAAAUUUCUUGGCUAGUUUAGCAUUAAAAUUAUUUUUGAAAUCGCUUUGCUGAAAGUUGCGGCGAUAAACCUCUUGACCUGGUACAAACUUGACUUGACGGCAACGGGUAUUGUAUGUCUUCUCGUUUUUCAAAUAUGCUUUGUGCAGAUUCUCACGAAUUUUGUGCCGUACUAAGUCCAUUUUUACGGGUUUUGGUACUAUGUCGAUUUCCGGAUCAUGAAGACAUUGUAGUUUCUUAGCAAGCUUAUAUACACUUCCGUGCGAAAUCAUGUUCAUACCGAACAGUGCGAAGUACGGCGUAACCCCAAUAGACGUUUGGACUGACGACCGCAGCGAAAAUUCAAUUUCGGACAGGUACUUGUCCCACUCAGUGUGAUCCUCCUGUAGGUAGGAACGAAUUGCGGACAGGAUGGACUGGUUAACCCGUUCCGAAGCGUUGGCUUGUGGCGAGUGUGUGGCAGUUUUUACAUGCUUUACGCCAAAAUUCGUUACCAUAUCCUGAAACUCUUUACUAGUAAACUGCUUGCCAUUAUCAGACAAAAUCGUCUCAGGUGUACCAAAUUUGUGGAACACUUCAGAUAUUAAAAACUUAAUGACGUUUUUCGUGUUAGCUUUCGGUAUAGCUCUGAGCAGUACAUAUUUCGUUAGGUGGUCGAGGACGAUGAAUAUGUAAGCCUUUCCGUUUCUUGACCGUGGAUAAGGCCCCAAAAAGUCUAUAAAGAUCUUCUGGAACGGUCGUUCCGUUGUAGAUUCAGCUCCCAUUGGUGGUCUUAGGAUAGAAUUCGCGGGUUUUGUCUCGCGACAGGUUUGGCAUUUGGCCACAAAUGAUCGGACCUGAACAUUCUGGUUGGGCCAGUAGAAAUAUUCCCUUAACCUUCGGAGCGUUUUACCAAAACCUCCAUGAGCGGCUUGAGGCGGAUUGUGGCACUUCGCAAUUACUUCUUGCGUAAGCUCUAGUGGAACCCAUAACUUCCAAAAUCUUCGUCGGCAAAAUCUUCGUUUAGCGGCACCCCGUCAUAUGGGAGGACCCGCUUAUAAACCAGGUCAUCCACGACCUUCAAAUCAGGCAGGCUUUCAGCGUUUUCCUUGAUUUUGGCGAUUAAGUCCAGAUACUUCCUCCAUGUCAUAUCUCGACAAGGUGUCGGGAACGAUAUUUUUGGAUCCGGGCCGGUGUUCGAUGGUAAAGGUAAAGGCCUGUAGAUGUAAGCUCCAUCGGGCUAGUCUGCCACUGAGGUCUUUGUGGGACAUAAGCCAUUUUAGGCUGCUAUGGUCCGUGAUGACUGUAAAUGGCAAAAGUUCUAUAUAAGGCCGGAAUUUCUUAAUGGCCAUCACUACGGCCAAACACUCUCUCUCGGUAACCGAGUAGUUCUUCUGUGCACUGGUCAAUUUGUGAGAGAAGAAGGCUACUGGAUGUUCGCCGUCGUUUUCGUCCUUCUGGAGCAGAACUGCUCCCAAACCUAUGUCUGAUGCAUCGCAUUGGACAUAAAAGUGCCUGUUGAAAUCGGGAUGCAUAAGCACUGGUGCUGUUGUGAGGGCGGACUUUAGCUUGUCGAAGGCUUCCUUAGCUUCGUCCGGAAAGUUGAAACCUUUUCCUUUCUUAAGGGUGUUAAAAAUAGGUGUUGAUAUGGUAGCGUAGUCGGGGAUGAAGCGCCUAUACCAACCCGUAGCACCCAUGAAGCUUCGGACCUGUUUGGCGGUUUUCGGGUAGGUAUAUUUUAAAAUCGUAUCGAUCUUAUCUGGGUCAGGUUUUAACUUCCCUCCUCCUACUAUAUACCCUAGGUACUUCAACUCUUUGAAGAAAAAUUUCGACUUCCCUACGUUGAUGGUCAGACCCGCCGAAUCCAGGCAAUGCGCUACCCGAUCCAGCAACUCCAGGUGAGUCUCAAAGUCUGGAGAUACUAUCAAAAGGUCAUCUAGAUAGACGAAAACUCUAUCACGAAGUGCUGAAGGGAUCACUUUGUCCAUCAGACGACAUAACCUUUGGGCUGCGUUACACAACCCGAAAGGCAUGACCGUGAAAUGGUAAAGUGGUCGCCCCGGCACCGUGAAUGCAGUCUUCUCCCUACUAGAUGCAUCUAACGGUAUCUGCCAGAACGCGUCUUUGAGAUCCACGCUGGAUAUGAAGAACGUAUCCCCUAACCGACUGAGCAGACCUUCGAUGUGCGGCAGCGGAUAGGCGUCCUUGACCGUGAGGGCAUUUAGCUUACGAGCGUCCAGACACAAUCGGUUCUUCUCGCCCCUACGGACGAGAGUAACCGGAUGGCUCCAAGGACUCUCGCUCUGCUCUAUGACCCCAAGCUCAAGCAUCCUAUCCAGCUCUGCAUACAUUAACUUCUGCACAGCCGGUGAGACGGGAUAAUGCCUGUCCUUCACUGGGAUCGCGUCGCGGGUAUCGAUUGUAUGGGUUUCGAGGGAAGUCUGACCGAGUCCCUUCUUUGAGAAACACGGGAAUUUUGCUACCACCACAUCUAAUGCCGCCUUUUGCCCAGGAGUAAGAAUAUGGGUUUUGGUUACAUCCUUCGUCUCCUCAGACUCCGGACACAAAUUAACCCCGUUAGUUGUAAUGCUACAUAUACUAGGAAACAGACCGAAACUUUUCAUAAAAUCUACCCCUAAAAAUAGAGGCCUAUUUAAAGUAUGUACUAGAUAUAGAGUCACUUCAUUAGAACAAUUAUUAAAAUUAACUUUGGUUUUUACUCGUCCAACAAUUCUAUGUGGACUGCCAUCGGCAGUUUUUACAUAGGACAAAAAUUUAAAAACUUGAAGACCGGAUUCCUCCACUAACUCCAUGCAGCCCUUACCUAAGCAAGACACCGUGGCUCCACUGUCUAACAGACCAUCAAUCUCACAACCAUUUAUAUUAAUCUUUAGAUAAAGUCUAGCAUCCUUGCCCUCAUACAAACUCGUAGACAAAAUUUCAUUCUUGAUCUUCUUUCUAAUUUUAUACCUAAGUCUAGCUUUCUGAAUUCUAUUCGAUACUUGACCAAAAAUCCUAGAUUUUGCUUCAGCGUAUUCCCGAAUUCUUUGAUGAAGCGGUUUAAUUAUAUGAACUUUAGGUUGUUCAUCGGCUGGCAUUAUGCGUGCAUUAUUAACUAGAAUUUUAAACGUGUUCGAUACCAUGGUCAACCGGGAUUAAGCUAGGGUUGAACGAGUCUCCCCCGUUUGGGACUCGCUCCCCUUCAGGUUUCCCUGACAUUUAGGGCACUUAGGCGUGACUACGUCAUCCCUACCACAUCUAAAACAAAAUAUGCGUCUAUUAGGUGAAGGACAAUCCACGAAACUAUGGCCUGGCUGCUUACAAUUCCAGCAAAUAUACCGGCUACUAGUGGCUAAGGCGUCGAUUUCGAGGAUUGGUAUUGGCACUUCAUCUCCAAACUGGAGUUCAUGGACUCGAGCUGGGGCGGGUUGUCUAGACUGGAAAGUCUGCCUCUGACUGGUGAUUAAAUUUUCAGCUCUUUUCGCCUGUUGACAGAACUCAUUGAGACUAGAAGUGGUCACGGAAAAUAGUAGAUGUGACAAUGACGGCUUUAGAUUACUUUUCAUAAUCUCCACUAGAUCUCGUUCUGAAUAGGGAUUUCGCUGUUGAUUUCUUAGCUUCAUCACACCAUUGUAAAAACUUUCAAAGCUUUCCAUCGGCAUUUGGCGACGAUCCAUAAUUUGUUUUUGUAACUGGAACUCGUUCUCAAAUCUUCGGAACUGGGUAAGGAAUGCUCCCACCAACUCAUCCCAGGACUGUAUUGGCCUUAACUUACGUAGGUUCCAAUACCAGUCCAGCGCCUGGCCUUCUAGCAGAUGAUGAAAACCUCGUAGGACGUCAUUGAACGCGCAGUUGUAGUCCUGUCUUAGAACGUCUACUCGAAAAAUGAAAUCUUCUGCACUCAGUUUUAAG